AAUUACUCUUGAUUGGAAUGAAUCACAAAUUAUGCAAAAUUUAAGAAACUAGAAUUAGGCGGGCUUGGGAGGCCUGCACAAGUGAGUUCUGCAAAAGUAAGCAGCGUCUCAACUUGGCUAGCCUUUAACCCCUCCAAAAAUUAUUGCGCACCAAUUCUUAUUGAUAGACGCUGCGGCCGGUUCUCACCGCCCGCUUUGUUUUCCUUACUCAUUAGUUUAAGGCAGUUUAUAAAGUUAUUCAAAACUUCUAAUUAUAUAACUCCAAACCACCUUACUCUUCACCUUCUUCCGAUGUGGGACAAACAAACUCCCUUUUCUCUAUUUCUUCCAUUUUUGUUUUCUACCAACCUUCUAUUGUACCCCCAAAAAUUAAUUUAAGCUGAAACUCUGAAAGCAAAGAAAUGGAGAGCCAACAACAGUCAUGGAAAUUGAGAUUUUCCUUCAAAAAUGCUACAAUUAUUGUUUGUUUGUUUAAUUUGGUUACUGCGCUUUUCUUGCUUCAGGGCUUCUUUUCUCCUUAUUCUUCUCGCAGAUUUCCUCCAGAUCACUCAAAUUCAGUUCAGCUUAGGUAUGUUAAGGAAUCUGAUGAACUUCGGAGAGCUAUGCAACCAUUGGAGCUGAUCCGAAGAGUCAGGGAAAUUGAACGAGAAUCAUAUGCAGAACCGGAAACAGUUCAACAUACAGAGACGAAGCAGACUGCUGCAGUUGAUCUGUCAAAGAGGUUAAACGCCCGCACUUUUACUGAUGCAGCAAGCAUAAAAGCUUUGGAAGAAUGGCGGAAGCGAAAGAUGGAGCGUGCCAGACAACGGGAAAUGGGAAGAAAUGCAACAGCUGCCUCUUAAGCAUGAAUAUACUAAAAGUUAGUUUUGUAUUCUUCUUAAUAGCUGACAUAAAGUUGGAUUGCAAGCUGUUAAAAGUUUCCCUUCUUCAUAGGCUAUUCAUGCAAAACCUGGGUGCUGUAAUGAUUAGAGUGCUCUGGUAACGCGACCAAAAACAGAACUGUAAAAAGGAAAUUCCAAUCUAUGACUAGUGUACACCAAGAUUUCGAGUGACUUUUGAGGACAGUCAUCAUGAUUCUGUGUCAUCAAGCUUCUGUUCAGGAGAAUCAGAGCGCAAGAUAAUCAGAGCAGCCCUGUUGUAUCUUGUAUAUCUCCAAUGAAGGCAAUGCCGCAAUGGGAUAUGAAAUGUUUGUUAAAGUGCACCACAAUAAUCUUGUUUCUGUUUGCUCAAAGGCAAUUAAGGAUGCAAAUUGGAGAAGGACAUGCUUGCUAUUUAUUACUCAUAUCUCUUUAAUUUGCAUACACCCGGUGUACAGUAAUUUACUGCACGUCGGGCUGUUUGCACGUGUGAACAGUUUUUUUUUUUUUCAGAAAUUCCAGAAUUCUAAUUACUUCUCCGCACAACCGUUGAACACAGCAACAAUGGAGGAUAGAGAAAAUGAAAAUAUGAAUUGCGAGAAAGAAAUUGGAGAUGAUCUUACCUCCAAUUUUCGAUCAUCAUUUAAUUUCUCAAAUUGUGAAUACCUAAUUCAAGAUAUUCUGAUAUAAAAUUCAACCACCAUUAAUUGAAAAUCUGGAGAACUUGAAGCAUACGAGUUUUGACAUAAAUCGCACAACCAUAUAUAGAAGAUGAAGCAGAGAAUUUUGUUGAUGAAUUCGAUCAAUUUUAAGAUGACGAUGGGAAG